GUUGGCAAGUAAUAAUCGCGCGCGUUUUGCGUUUGUACGCGCCAAGCGGUAGGCAGGUGGCUACGUAUCGUCACCGAAGGUCACUGCCAUCGCCGCCAGUCUCGUCAAGGCGUUUCGCUUUUAUCCUAGAAAUAGAACGCGACUUUGUAGUUUUCCUUGAUGCUUCCCUUGGCACAAAUGUCCGCUCUGUCGCCUGCUACGAAUCAGACUUUUCCACGGAUCUUCGGUUUUUGAAAUAAAUUGGGAAAUAUAAGGAAAAAAUGGCGCGUCUUCCAGAGUACGCAGAAUCUCUUCGAUAACUCGACAGCUGCUACCGUGGCAGCGUAAAUCGUCCGCAAAAAUUGAAAAAUCUACAAGAACCGCGUAUCGAAGGUUGCAAAACCGCGAUCGUAUACGCAGAUCGGAAGGCGACGACGAAAAGGUGGCCAAGGAGUAAGAUUCGACGAAACUUUUAUUCGUGUUUGACAAGGCCGGAGAUAUCCGUUGAUAUAAUCCCGCGGGAUGACAAUAUUUUUAAUUCCAGGCGAGAUGUAACAGGAUCAGCGAGAGCGAAGGCUCGAGAAGACGAACCAUUUUGUUUCCUCCUCGAAUUCGCGGGUAAUACGUAAUCCUCUUAGAGACGUCAGGUAUCAAGGAGCACCUACAGCGGUAGAACACGUCGACGAUCCUUUUUACCGGAAACAAAUAUUUUAUCUCACAAGGUCCUUUCCAAUAGCGUUCAUCGAUUCGCCGCACGACUGUUACAGCCAUCGAAUCUUAGGAUAAUUAAAUUCAACGAACAAGAAAACCAAACUUUUACCUACGUUGAGCUAUCCACUCGAUUAUAGUUCCCUAAUAUAGAUCGAGCGAAGAACAUGACAUAAAGCAAAGAAAGACUGGAAGCACGACAAGAACGUCAGUUUGAUUUCCAAGGACCCGACCUCUUCUAUCGAAUUUUUCUUCGUUUAC
rnacentral:misc_RNA from 1 species